rnacentral:rRNA from 1 species
AGCAGUCGCCGCGGUAAUACGGAGGGCGCGAGCGUUACCCGGAUUUACUGGGCGUAAAGGGCGUGUAGGCGGCCUGGGGCGUCCCGUGUGAAAGGCCACGGCUCAACCGUGGAGGAGCGUGGGAUACGCUCAGGCUAGAGGGUGGGAGAGGGUGGUGGAAUUCCCGGAGUAGCGGUGAAAUGCGCAGAUACCGGGAGGAACGCCGAUGGCGAAGGCAGCCACCUGGUCCACUUCUGACGCUGAGGCGCGAAAGCGUGGGGAGCAAACCGGAUUAGAUACCCGCGUAGUCCCUGUCUCUUAUAC